AGUGAACGCUGGCGGUAGGCCUAACACAUGCAAGUCGAACGGCAGCACAGUAAGAGCUUGCUCUUACGGGUGGCGAGUGGCGGACGGGUGAGGAAUACAUCGGAAUCUACUUUUUCGUGGGGGAUAACGUAGGGAAACUUACGCUAAUACCGCAUACGACCUACGGGUGAAAGCAGGGGAUCUUCGGACCUUGCGCGAUUGAAUGAGCCGAUGUCGAAUUAGCUAGUUGGCGGGGUAAAGGCCCACCAAGGCGACGAUCCGUAGCUGGUCUGAGAGGAUGAUCAGCCACACUGGAACUGAGACACGGUCCAGACUCCUACGGGAGGCAGCAGUGGGGAAUAUUGGACAAUGGGCGCAAGCCUGAUCCAGCCAUACCGCGUGGGUGAAGAAGGCCUUCGGGUUGUAAAGCCCUUUUGUUGGGAAAGAAAAGCAGCAGGUUAAUACCCCGCUGUUCUGUCGGUACCCAAAGAAUAAGCACCGGCUAACUUCGUG
rnacentral:rRNA from 1 species